rnacentral:ncRNA from 1 species
AUAAGUGUGUAAUGUUGUGUGCCAAUUGUCAUAGAGAAACUCAUGCUAAGUUAGCAGCUCUUAGUGGAAACAUUAAGAUGAAAAGUGGGCUAAUUCAGGGAACCCUUAACUACAGAAAUGUAAAAGGCAAUCCUGAGCUAGUUUAAGUUUAUAAAACUUAGAUAAGUGCAGAGACUUUACACCCACUAUCCUAACGUCAAGUCGAGGAUAAAGAGAAAGUCCGACUCUUCAAGAAAUUGAAGU